rnacentral:lncRNA from 1 species
GAGAAUGAGCUUGGAGCCGCAGGGCUUAAUCCCGCGCGGCUCAGAGAUGGGUUUCUGGACUCGCGAAGCAGCUGCAACAAGGCAUCACUCACUGUAUAAGUAUUUCCAUUUCUGAGAGCAAAAGGAAGAACUUAAGCGGGCGGCACUUGGAGUGUAAAUUGCUUUGUAGUAUUUAAAGGCAGAAUGGAUCCUGGGCAGCCGAGCUGCAACAAACCGGCAGGACUUCCUGUGAAAUCAUGACCACCAUGUGCUCUUUCAGCCUCUAUCAGUUCCUACCUCUAAGCACCUGAGAGCCAAAGCAAACCACAGGAAACCACAGGCCUUUGGAGUCAGACUGGAACUACAGCAUUGACUCUUCCGGAACUCCAGCUUACUGACUACAGAUCUUGGAACUUUUCAGCUUCCACAACCAUAAUGAAAGCCAAGCAUAUUCCAUCAUUUCCUAAAACCAAGAUAGAGCACAUAUGGGAACUUGUGAAAUAAGGAUGCCCUGCGGUUGUUUUCAGGACUGAAGACAACAGCUCCACGAUGUAUCUUUGCAUAAGAAUACACUUGUAUAAUAAGUUUUUUUUUUUAGAGAAAUUGCAUGUAUCUGCCUUAUAAACUUUUUCAUUCAUUCAUUUUCUUUCUUCCUAAUCUGUUCCAUAAAGCAAAUUUCUAACUUAUUGUUAAUCAAAAUAAUUAUUGAAAUAAUUAGUACUUUCAUAUGAUAAAGAUUAUUUUAAUCUGCAGCUACAAAAUAUGUAACUCAUUAAUAUUUAAACAAUCACAAUUUUCUAUUAACAUUAUAGCAUUUUAUCUACUACUAGAUCAGGAAUUAGCUAUUUUUUGUAAAAUUUCUUUGUAAGGCAAAGCAAUAGUAUUGUAUAUACUUUCCUAAAGAUUGUCAAGUUCAGUUUUGCUUAAAUUUAACAGUACAUGUGACACUUUCUGUUUGAAGAAUAAGUUGGUUUUAAGUUUAUACCAAACAAAAGCAUCUCUUUUGUUUUGCAAAAUCUGAAACUUUGAUCUUUCUAGUUGUGACUUCUUGUAAAUAUGUUUUAUAUAAAUAUUCUAUGAAUUGGUUAUUAACAAGGUAAAGAAAGAUUGAUAUGUAAGCUGAUUCUUAAACAUUAAUUUUCUGGAGAUAAACUUUUUUAAAAUUAUGCUUUAAAAAUAUUUUAACACAUGUUAUCAAAAAGGAACUGAAAUAUCUUAGGCAUAAAAGACAUCUCUAGAGGUCAUUAUUCAGUUUCCAGAAAGUACUGAAACUAUCUCUGACAGAUUGAUACGUUUUCUGCAUUUAUAGCUCUCUGGAGAGAGGUUCUGUAUAUUUAACAAUUCUCACUGUGAGGGAUAUUUUAAGUAUUUCAAAUUUAAAGUGCUCAUGUUUCAGAUUCAGAUUAUUAUUAUCAUCAUCAUUAUUUUGGUUCUGGCUUCAGUAAAAAUGUGAAAAACACUUUUCCAUCUUCUGAUAAUAUUUCAUAUUUAUAAAAUUAUUAUUAAGUUAUAACUCAGCUUUUUCAUUUAUGCUUUAAAUCCUUUUAUUAUCUCAUCACAACCAUCUUUGACUGUUUAUCAGAAAUGGUUCUCUUUUGUACAUUGACCAUUAUUUUAUAGAUCACAUUUAAGUUAAUAUAAAUCAUGCCUAUAAAUUUCAGCCUGCUUAUUUUUUAUAAUCUAGUCAGAUAUCAGCUAGACAUAUUGUUACCAAGUUUGGAGAGCCUUGGGAUAAGCUAGUUUCAAAACUGGCUGUUAGCAUCCCUCAGUUGUGUUUUGGGAGCAAAGGACACCCUUAAAAAAGGGAGGCAGUUAUAUUUUGUGAGCAUUAUAAAAUAAACUUAAAUUCUCA